rnacentral:rRNA from 1 species
GUCCACGCCGUAAACGAUGGAUACUAGGUGUGGGAGGUAUUGACCCCUUCCGUGCCGCAGUUAACACAAUAAGUAUCCCACCUGGGGAGUACGGCCGCAAGGUUGAAACUCAAAGGAAUUGACGGGGCCCGCACAAGCAGUGGAGUAUGUGGUUUAAUUCGAAGCAACGCGAAGAACCUUACCAGGUCUUGACAUCCCGAUGACCGUCCUAGAGAUAGGGCUUCUCUUCGGAGCAUCGGUGACAGGUGGUGCAUGGUUGUCGU